ensembl:Y_RNA Y_RNA Y RNA
GGCUGGUCCGAAGGUAGUGAGUUAUCUCAAUUGAUUGUUCACAGUCAGUUACAGAUCAAACUCCUUGUUCUACUCUUUCCCCCUUCUCACUACUGCACUUGACUAGUCUGGG